CCUACGGGAUGCUGCAGUGGGGAAUAUUGCACAAUGGGGGAAACCCUGAUGCAGCGCCGCCGCGUGAGUGAAGAAGUAUUUCGGUACGUCAAGCUCUAUCAGCAGGGAAGAAAAUGACGGUACCUGACUAAGAAGCCCCGGCUAACUACGUGCCAGCAGCCGCGGUAAUACGUAGGGUGCAAGCGUUAUCCGGAGUUACUGGGUGUAAAGGGAGCGUAGACGGCAGCGCAAGUCUGGAGUUAAAUCCCAUAACUUAACCAUGGAACUGCUUUGGAAACUGUGCAGCUCGAGUGCAGGAGAGGAAAGCGGAAUUCCUAGUGUAGCGGUGAAAUGCGUAGAUAUUAGGAGGAACACCAGUGGCGAAGGCGGCUUACUGGACUGUAACUGACGUUGAGGCGCGAAAGCGUGGGGAGCAAACAGGAUUAGAUACCCUGGUAGUC
rnacentral:rRNA from 1 species